rnacentral:lncRNA from 1 species
UUAUGCAUUGCAAAUACGUUCGUCAGUAGUUGAAAAGUCAAAGAUGGAAUUUUGAAUAAGUCAAUCACAGCGUGUUAUCAUCAUCUUCCCUUAAAUUUCAGCUGGUGGAGAUGAAAACCUGCUCAAACAACUCAACAAAUUGAUAUUUCAUUGAAUCCUUGUGGUUCCUAUGGAUCUGUACAUCUUUUCGUCCACAUUUGCUCUACUAAGUCCCUCUCUCUUACUCACCGGUCACAUCCACUGUCUCCGCACCACUAACACCGUCGUUCCACUUCUCCAACCUCACUUCUCUAACACGAACCUGCUCCUGCAUUCUCCGCCUCUUUCAUUUGUCCUUUCUCUUUCAGGAUGAAUUGGGUUGCUAAACUGUACUCUUUAAUGAACGACCACCAAAUACAGAUUCACCAAGGUACCCCCUUAUCUUCGUAUUUGGGAACACUUUUUGUAUUAGAGACGCAAAAGGGUUCUCUUUGUUUCUGUCUAUCUCGCUCCAUUCAAGAUCAUGAGAAACUUUUCAUGUGACUUUUUUGUUACCUUUUCAUUAUCAGAUUUUUUUUUUGUUGUAGGAUAAAAUCAGGAAGACCAAUAAGAAAUAAAAAUAUCUAUGUGUGUGUAACGAUAUCAUGCUCCAAACCUCAUUCUCAAUCUCGAUUUCAAUCCUUGAAACUUACUCUCGAUCUUGAUAUUCUACAGAUAAGAGACAACUACAAUUUCAAGCCCUAAAUUUCAAAGGUAAGCAACGAUUUCAAUCCCUAAAAAUCACUCUUGAUCUCGAUUUCAAGCUCUAAACCACAAUCUCGAUUUUGAUUUUGAUGUUUUGCAGAUAGGAGAUAAGAUAUGAUUCCAUGACCUAAGCAUCUCUCUCUCUCUCUCUCUCUCUCUCUCUCUCUCUCUCUCUCUCUGGUUUACCAUCAAGGACACAAAACGUUACGAUUUCGUGUUUUUUCUUUUCUUCUUUUGAUUUGUUGCAUAAACAUCAAUUUUUGCUACAUAAAUUUAAAACUUAAAGGUAUUUUGAGGAAUUUAAGGGUUGGAUUUCGUAUAUGUGUGUAUGUUUAACAGGUGAACCUAAAAAGUAGAAGGUUUGAAAAUGGUUAAAGGCAAUUAACAGGUAUGUAUUUUUGUAUGUAGGUGUGUGUGUGUGUGUGUAUUUAUGUAGGAGUCUAAUGUGCAUAUGUUUAUAUCCAGGUGGUUUUAUUUGUUUUUGUGUGUUUUUAUGUAGGUGUGUGUAUCUGUGUUGGUGUAUAUAUAAGGUAAUAGCCUAUGAUUUUUGUUCUUCUCGUUGGAAGGGUAUUUUCUGUGGAUGAAUCUGAUUAUAAAUUUACUUUAAAGCUGAACAUCUAUCUGUAGAUGAGUGGCUAUAGGUUUGUGGUUUUCAUGCUAUAUCUCCUUAAAUGCCAAAGCUUGCUUAUAUUGUAUUCUCUUUUCUAUGAAAAUUCUGUAAUUAAACUUCUGAACAUAUAUUUCUGAAUGAAGGAUAAAAUAGGAGUAAAGGAAUAUGGAAAUGGAAUGGGAAUCAGUAGAUGCCAAUCAUAUUCUAUGGAGAGGUUUGUUAAUUUGUUUUAUCUUAAUUUUUAUGAAAACAAUUUAAGUCGACUUCUAAUCGUUACUAUUCAUAAGAUGGGCUGGUUUUAAUAUAUAAUUUUUUUCAAGAUGGUGAUUUUAAUGAGUUACUGAUUUGUAAUUUAUAAGAGGUCCUGCAUCUACUAAAACAUUUUGAGUUUUGAGAAUUUCAUUUUCUGGUUUAUAUUUCUUUGUUCUUGUAUUUGUACGUGAGUUUUUUUCUCACAGUUUGAGUUUUCUGAUUAUGUUCCCCUGUCACUUUUCAUUCAGAUUAAACCGCAUGGAGUUGUUUCUAACUUACACCGUAUAGUUGAAAGUAUUUAAUUUUCCCUUCUAGGUUAAAUGUUAUAAAACACUUCAAAUGGUCAAAAAGUAUGUGUUUGUAAUGUGUGUGUCUGUAAUGUGUUUAUGUGUGUGCGUUCUACGUUAGUGUCUCCAAUUUAUAUUAAAUGAAGUAAUUUCGUUUAAAAUUGAGUAAUCCAUAAGAAAAUUAUUCUACAUCUUUUAUUUUUAAUCACAUAUAUCAUCUUACAAGCAUUUUGAGCAGAUGAGAAGGGAAGCAACAACAAUCAAAGAUUUAAAUAAUCCAAAAUGAAGUCAAGAUAGGUGAGGGUGGGGUUAAUGUUGUUGGCAUGUUGCUUGAAAACAAAAAUGAAAUGGAUAGUUCUAUUUUACAAUACUACCACUAGCCGAAUAACAAAUAUAGAAAAAUGGGCCUUGUGAACUAAUUUGUAAUAUUAAUAAAUUGCUAACUUGGACUAUUCUACAUGGUGAUAGCUAUUUCUUAUAUUUACCACGUGGUGUUAUUGAAAUCUUGAUUUGUUUUGUAAAAUAAAUUAAGCAAGAUUAAUUAAAUCUAAAAAUCCCUAACAUAUUUUGAUUUAAGUUUGGCACUUUUAGGUUUGGUUGUAAAAUAUUAAUCUUUUUCGUUUUACCUAAUAAAUUCAUUUCAAACUUGACAAAAUCCAAUAUCAAGUUUCAUUUUAAACUUGGUUUUGCAUUACUCUACACACAAGUGUGUUGGCUUUCCCUAUGUUGACCAAGUACUCCACAUAUCCAAUUGAAUCCAAUUGAAUGAGUUUAACCCCCUAUACAAGUUAUAAAAGCAUUUCCACUAUAUCUUUCAUCCCACUCUCAACCAUCGGUCUUCAUGAAACCCUUAAAUACCCUCCCCCGAAAGUCAACCUCUACUAUCACCACUUACCGCCAUUGUUACAAGCUAUUCGCACCCGUCGUUUUGCGC